CCUUUGGAUUAUGCCUGUAUCUAAUUUUCACUUUAGUAUCUUAAAAAAGUUGCUAAAUCUGUGUUUAUGUAAAAUCCAGGUCAUUUGCACCCUUGGUAGCCUAGUCUUUGUAAGCAUCUUACUCAUUCAGGGGAUCUGGAUUGGAGUGGCUUAUGUACAAGAAAACCGCAACCAUAAAGGCGGCAUUUUUGAAGAUGAAGGCGGCCCGUCGAAGCGAGCUAGGAGGGACGUACGAUCGGUUCUCCCAGUUGCAAUCCCCAGCAAGUUGGUGAACAUUCAAUUAGAUGUGGGGUUUUAUGUUGAUGGGGUUCUAAUUAAUGCUGGUGUUUUUGUGGAUGUUGAAGGCAUAUCUUGAGGUCAUUUGCACUCUUGGUAGCCUAGUCUUUGUAAGCAUCUUACUCAUUCAUGGGAUCUGGAUUGGAGUGGCUUAUGUACAAGAAAACUGCAACCAUAAAGGCGGCAAUGUUGAAGAUGAAGGCCGCCGUUGACUGGCGCACAGCUCCAUAGGAGGACUGCUUGGCAUCAAGGAUAACUGAUUGAGCACUGUUGUCAAUUUAUCGUCAUGAUCAUCCCUCAAGCUCCACUUUAUAUGUUUAUUUUCAUCCCAUUUGAUUCUACUCCGAACAUAUACAUGUCUUGUUAUUUAUGUUAUUAAUUCGAACGGAUUAAGAAUUUGCAUCCACUUCAUGGUCACUUUAUAAUGCAGUU